GGCGUGCUUAACACAUGCAAGUCGAACGGAAAGGCCCUGCUUUUGUGGGGUGCUCGAGUGGCGAACGGGUGAGUAACACGUGAGUAACCUGCCCUUGACUUUGGGAUAACUUCAGGAAACUGGGGCUAAUACCGGAUAGGAGCUCCUGCUGCAUGGUGGGGGUUGGAAAGUUUCGGCGGUUGGGGAUGGACUCGCGGCUUAUCAGCUUGUUGGUGGGGUAGUGGCUUACCAAGGCUUUGACGGGUAGCCGGCCUGAGAGGGUGACCGGCCACAUUGGGACUGAGAUACGGCCCAGACUCCUACGGGAGGCAGCAGUGGGGAAUAUUGCACAAUGGGCGGAAGCCUGAUGCAGCAACGCCGCGUGCGGGAUGACGGCCUUCGGGUUGUAAACCGCUUUCGCCUGUGACGAAGCGUGAGUGACGGUAAUGGGUAAAGAAGCACCGGCUAACUACGUGCCAGCAGCCGCGGUGAUACGUAGGGUGCGAGCGUUGUCCGGAUUUAUUGGGCGUAAAGGGCUCGUAGGUGGUUGAUCGCGUCGGAAGUGUAAUCUUGGGGCUUAACCCUGAGCGUGCUUUCGAUACGGGUUGACUUGAGGAAGGUAGGGGAGAAUGGAAUUCCUGGUGGAGCGGUGGAAUGCGCAGAUAUCAGGAGGAACACCAGUGGCGAAGGCGAUUCUCUGGGCCUUUCCUGACGCUGAGGAGCGAAAGCGUGGGGAGCGAACAGGCUUAGAUACCCUGGUAGUCCACGCUGUAAACGGUGGGUACUAGGUGUGGGGUCCAUUCCACGGGGUUCCGUGCCGUAGCUAACGCUUUAAGUACCCCGCCUGGGGAGUACGGCCGCAAGGCUAAAACUCAAAGGAAUUGACGGGGCCCCGCACAAGCGGCGGAGCAUGCGGAUUAAUUCGAUGCAACGCGUAGAACCUUACCUGGGUUUGACAUGGAUCGGGAGUGCUCAGAGAUGGGUGUGCCUCUUUUGGGGUCGGUUCACAGGUGGUGCAUGGCUGUCGUCAGCUCGUGUCGUGAGAUGUUGGGUUAAGUCCCGCAACGAGCGCAACCCUUGUUCACUGUUGCCAGCACGUUAUGGUGGGGACUCAGUGGAGACCGCCGGGGUCAACUCGGAGGAAGGUGGGGAUGACGUCAAGUCAUCAUGCCCCUUAUGUCCAGGGCUUCACGCAUGCUACAAUGGCUGGUACAGAGAGUGGCGAGCCUGUGAGGGUGAGCGAAUCUCGGAAAGCCGGUCUCAGUUCGGAUUGGGGUCUGCAACUCGACCUCAUGAAGUCGGAGUCGCUAGUAAUCGCAGAUCAGCAACGCUGCGGUGAAUACGUUCCCGGGGCUUGUACACACCGCCCGUCAAGUCAUGAAAGUUGGUAACACCCGAAGCCGGUGGCCUAACCGUUGUGGGGGAGCCGUCGAAGGUGGGACUGGUGAUUAGGACUAAGA
rnacentral:rRNA from 1 species